rnacentral:rRNA from 1 species
UAGGGAAUCUUCCACAAUGGACGCAAGUCUGAUGGAGCAACGCCGCGUGAGUGAAGAAGGUUUUCGGAUCGUAAAGCUCUGUUGUUGGUGAAGAAGGAUAGAGGUAGUAACUGGCCUUUAUUUGACGGUAAUCAACCAGAAAGUCACGGCUAACUACGUGCCAGCAGCCGCGGUAAUACGUAGGUGGCAAGCGUUGUCCGGAUUUAUUGGGCGUAAAGCGAGCGCAGGCGGAAGAAUAAGUCUGAUGUGAAAGCCCUCGGCUUAACCGAGGAACUGCAUCGGAAACUGUUUUUCUUGAGUGCAGAAGAGGAGAGUGGAAUUCCAUGUGUAGCAGUGGAAUGCGUAGAUAUAUGGAAGAACACCAGUGGCGAAGGCGACUCUCUGGUCUGCAACUGACGCUGAGGCUCGAAAGCAUGGGUAGCGAACAGG